CCUACGGGCGGCAGCAGUGGGGAAUAUUGGACAAUGGGCAAAAGCCUGAUCCAGCCAUGCCGCGUGUGUGAAGAAGGCCUUCGGGUUGUAAAGCACUUUCAGUGGGGAAGAAAGCCUUGGGGCUAAUACCCUCGAGGAAGGACAUCACCCACAGAAGAAGCACCGGCUAACUCCGUGCCAGCAGCCGCGGUAAUACGGAGGGUGCGAGCGUUAAUCGGAAUUACUGGGCGUAAAGCGCGCGUAGGCGGUCUGAUAAGCCGGUUGUGAAAGCCCCGGGCUCAACCUGGGAACGGCAUCCGGAACUGUCAGGCUAGAGUGCAGGAGAGGAAGGUAGAAUUCCCGGUGUAGCGGUGAAAUGCGUAGAGAUCGGGAGGAAUACCAGUGGCGAAGGCGGCCUUCUGGACUGACACUGACGCUGAGGUGCGAAAGCGUGGGUAGCAAACAGGAUUAGAUACCCCGGUAGUC
rnacentral:rRNA from 1 species